GAUGAACGCUGGCGGCGUGCCUAAUACAUGCAAGUCGAACGAACAGACGAUGCUCUUGCUCCUCUCACGUUAGCGGCGCGCGGGUGAGUCACACGUGUAUAACCUCCCUGUAAGACGGGUAUAACCUCGGGAAACCGGAGCUAAUACGGUAGAAUAUCUUGCACCGCAUGGUUCAAUAGUGAAAUACGGCUUUGCGGUCACUUAUAGAUGGAUCCCGGCCGCAUUAGCUAGUUGGUAAGGUAACGGCUUACCAAGGCAACGAUGCGUUGCCGACCGGCGAGGGGGAUCGGCGACACUGGAACUGAGACACCGUCAAGACGCCUACGAGAGGCCGCAGUAGGGUACGUGCCGCAAUGGGCGAAAGCCUGGCGGAGCAACGCCAAGUGAGUGGCGACAGCGUUCGGAGCGUGAAAACCUGUUAUGAGGGAUGAACAACUGUGUCAGGAACUGUGGACGGCUUGACGGUAAUUAAUCAGAAAGCAACGGCUAACUACGUG
rnacentral:rRNA from 1 species